rnacentral:rRNA from 1 species
UACGAAGGGGGCGAGCGUUGUUCGGAUUUACUGGGCGUAAAGGGCGCGUAGGCGGCCCUCCUUGUCGCGUGUGAAAGCCCCGGGCUCAACCUGGGAAUUGCGCGCGAAACGGGGGGGCUUGAGUUCGGGAGAGGAGGGUGGAAUUCCCAGUGUAGAGGUGAAAUGCGUAGAUAUUGGGAAGAACACCGGUGGCGAAGGCGGCGCGCUGGGCCGAGACUGACGCUGAUGCGCGAAAGCGUGGGGAGCAAACAGG